rfam:Triticum aestivum genome assembly, contig: Triticum_aestivum_CS42_TGACv1_scaffold_373969_5AL
AAGAUGGAAUACGAUGAUCUCAUCUCUCAAAUCCUUGCUGGAUUGGAUGCAGAAUAUAAUCGUUUUGUCUCAUCCAUUGCCGCUAGAACCGAUGCCUAUUCCUUGAGUGAAAUUUAUGCUUAGUUCAUU